AGCAGCCGCGGUAAUUCCAGCUCCAAUAGCGUAUAUUAAAGUUGCUGCAGUUAAAAAGCUCGUAGUUGAAUUUCGGGACUAAUAUGUCGGUCGUGCCUCGGUACGUACUGGUAUUUUUGGUUUCUCCCUUCUGACGAACCUUGAUGUCAUUAAUUUGGUGUCUUGGGAAAUCAGGACUGUUACUUUGAAAAAAUUAGAGUGUUUAAAGCAGGCUCACGCUUGAAUACAUUAGCAUGGAAUAAUGAAAUAGGACGUUUGAUUCUAUUUUGUUGGUUUCUAGGAUUGACGUAAUGAUUAAUAGGGAUAGUUGGAGGCAUUAGUAUUCAAUUGUCAGAGGUGAAAUUCUUGGAUUUAUUGAAGACUAACUACUGCGAAAGCAUUUGCCAAGGAUGUUUUCAUUAAUCAAGAACGAAAGUUAGGGGAAUCGAAGACGAUCAGAUACCGUCGUAGUCUUAACCAUAAACUAUGCCGACUAGGGAUCGGAUGAUGUUAAUUUUUAAUGACUCAUUCGGCGCCUUAC
rnacentral:rRNA from 1 species